AUUGAACGCUGGCGGCAGGCCUAACACAUGCAAGUCGAGCGGAUGAAGGGAGCUUGCUCCUGGAUUCAGCGGCGGACGGGUGAGUAAUGCCUAGGAAUCUGCCUGGUAGUGGGGGAUAACGUCCGGAAACGGGCGCUAAUACCGCAUACGUCCUGAGGGAGAAAGUGGGGGAUCUUCGGACCUCACGCUAUCAGAUGAGCCUAGGUCGGAUUAGCUAGUUGGUGGGGUAAAGGCCUACCAAGGCGACGAUCCGUAACUGGUCUGAGAGGAUGAUCAGUCACACUGGAACUGAGACACGGUCCAGACUCCUACGGGAGGCAGCAGUGGGGAAUAUUGGACAAUGGUCUAAAGCCUGAUCCAGCCAUGCCGCGUGUGUGAAGAAGGUCUUCGAAUUGUAAAGCACUUUAAGUUGGGAGGAAGGGCAGUAAGUUAAUACCUUGCUAUUUUGCCGUUACCAACAGAAUCUGCCCCCCCUAACUUCGUG
rnacentral:rRNA from 1 species